rnacentral:rRNA from 1 species
UGUAAGCGUAUACCAAAGUUGUUGCAGUUAAAACGCUCGUAGUCGGAAUUUGGCAGUUCCGGAUGUGUGCACGUCGUGUGCGCACUUCGCGGGGAUUGCUUUUGUGGUCUUGCGUAGGAUGAGGCACUUUUAUUAGUGAACGUCCUCACGCAACCACUUUUUACUGUGAGAAAAUCAGAGUGCUCAAAGCAGGCAUUUGCCGUGAAUGUAUUAGCAUGGGAUAAUAGAAUAGGACUUGGUUCUAUUUUGUUGGUUUGUUGGGACUGAGUAAUGAUUAAGAGGGACAGUUGGGGGCAUUUGUAUUUCGGUGCUAGAGGUGAAAUUCUUAGAUUACCGAAAGACAAACUGCUGCGAAAGCGUCUGCCAAGGAUGUUUUCAUUGA